rnacentral:rRNA from 1 species
AGUGAACGCUGGCGGUAGGCCUAACACAUGCAAGUCGAACGGCAGCACAGUAAGAGCUUGCUCUUACGGGUGGCGAGUGGCGGACGGGUGAGGAAUACAUCGGAAUCUACUUUGUCGUGGGGGAUAACGUAGGGAAACUUACGCUAAUACCGCAUACGACCUACGGGUGAAAGCAGGGGAUCGUCGGACCUUGCGCGAUUGAAUGAGCCGAUGUCGGAUUAGCUAGUUGGCGGGGUAAAGGCCCACCAAGGCGACGAUCCGUAGCUGGUCUGAGAGGAUGAUCAGCCACACUGGAACUGAGACACGGUCCAGACUCCUACGGGAGGCAGCAGUGGGGAAUAUUGGACAAUGGGCGCAAGCCUGAUCCAGCCAUACCGCGUGGGUGAAGAAGGCCUUCGGGUUGUAAAGCCCUUUUGUUGGGAAAGAAAAGCAGCAGGUUAAUACCCCGCUGUUCUGACGGUACCCAAAGAAUAAGCACCGGCUAACUUCGUG